CCUCCAGACUAGAGCCGAUCCAAGUUCUGUCAGCCUAAUGUAGAUCUUGGAUAAAUAAGGGUAAUAGGCUCAUUUUUAUAUUUGGAGAAAGUGAAACACUGAGAAGUUGGGGUCAGCUGUGGGACUCUCUUCAGGUCUUUGAAUUCCCAUGACCUUUCCUGGAACAGCUGUGAGUUUGGAGGAGGCAGCCCUGACCAAAGAAAUGAGAACCUGGAUCCAGGAACCCAUGGUCUGCAAACCACAGCUGCGGGCAGCCAAUCCGAGGACACCUUGUCAUCCAGCCUAAAGUAAGAACAGGUAGCUAACAUGAGUAAGCAACCCCCAGGGAAGUCUCCAGAGCCUGACUAAUUGUAGAAUUCCUCAGACCCCUAGAGGUAGAACUAACCAAUCAAUGUAAAAGGGCACGCGCCCCUCCCUAAAACUCCCCUAACUGACAAUUCGAGUCCACCAGGGGUCUCCAUUCCCAGAUGGGGAGACCCCUGCAUGCAGAAGAUUCAGCUAAAUAAACAAUCUU
rnacentral:lncRNA from 1 species